GCCGAGAAUCCCAGGUCCUGCUCGGAGGCGAGGUGAGGUGCCUGAAGGAGGGCUGAGGGGACCCUGCGUGAGGACCGACGGAACCCCACAGAUCCCCGCCCCUGUAGUCGGCCCUGGGAGAGCUUUGGGAGCUCCAGGAACCAGGAGAGGAAGGCAGAGGACUGAGGCUCCAGUCCUGAGGUCAGAGGGCAGAGGUGGUCCAGGCAGUCCCAGGAGUCAAGGUAGCCAGCGGACUGGCAGCCCUGGAGGCUUGCCCCUGUGAGGUCUGAGAGCACCCCUCAAAAGGAGACCUGUAAGUGGCCUGUGUGAGACCGCCCAGGGUGUGGAUCUCAGCUGAGGCCAUUCACAGCCCCUCUCUCCCCU